GAUAGAGAGAAGUAGUAGAAGAAGAAGAAGAAGAAAAGAUUGAAGGGUGUCCGAGAGCGUGAAUUAGGGUGCUAUACAUUUCCAUUUAGGCGCAAUUUAAGGGAUAGGUGCACCAUCAGUUGAGCGAGGUAAGGGGAUUGCGCCUAGUUAGCCACCCUACCAGUAUACUUAUCUGUAGCAGACUUCCAGAUAGUGAGCCAUCGUACUUUUCUUUGGACUGGCGCAGGCCGGGGCCAUUUGCUUGUACUUGAAUUUGGGUGUGAAUUUAUGUAUCUUACUACUAGUUUCUUGUUGUUCGGUGGUUCAGCUUA